rnacentral:rRNA from 1 species
GUGUCAGCAGCCGCGGUAAGACGAACCGUGCAAACGUUGUUCGGAAUCACUGGGCUUAAAGGGCGCGUAGGCGGGCGGUCAAGUCCGGGGUGAAAUCUUUCGGCUCAACCGGAAAAGUGCCUUGGAUACUGGCCGUCUCGAGGGAGGUAGGGGCCGGCGGAACUUCUGGUGGAGCGGUGAAAUGUGUUGAUAUCAGAAGGAACUCCGGUGGCGAAAGCGGUCGGCUGGACCUCUUCUGACGCUGAGGCGCGAAAGCUAGGGGAGCAAACGGGAUUAGAUACCCCGGUAGUCCUAGCCCUAAACGAUGGGUACUAGGUAGUAGACUUGACAUGGGUUUACUGCCGAAGCAAAAGUGUUAAGUACCCCGCCUGGGGAGUAUGGUCGCAAGGCUGAA